AACGAACGCUGGCGGCAUGCCUAACACAUGCAAGUCGAACGCUUUUGGGGCUUCGGCCCCAAGGGAGUGGCGCACGGGUGAGUAGCGCGUGGGAACCUGCCCUGUUGUGGGGGAUAACCGAGGGAAACUUCGGCUAAUACCGCAUGCGCCCGGAGCGAUCUUCGGAUCGAACCGGGGAAAGAUUUAUCGCAGCAGGAGGGGCCCGCGUCCGAUUAGCUAGUUGGCGGGGUAACGGCCCACCAAGGCACCGAUCGGUAGCUGGUCUGAGAGGAUGAUCAGCCACACUGGGACUGAGACACGGCCCAGACUCCUACGGGAGGCAGCAGUGGGGAAUAUUGGACAAUGGGCGCAAGCCUGAUCCAGCAAUGCCGCGUGAGUGAUGAAGGCCUUAGGGUUGUAAAGCUCUUUCGCCCGCGACGAUGAUGACGGUAGCGGGAGAAGAAGCCCCGGCUAACUUCGUGCCAGCCGCCGCCGUAACAC
rnacentral:rRNA from 1 species